GCUUCCUUGGCUCAGUCGGUAGAGCGUAGGUCUCAUACUCCGGUGUGAUCGCUCACUGAGCGAGUAAUCCUAAGGUCGUGAGUUCGAUCCUCACAGGGAGCA
rnacentral:tRNA from 1 species